ACCUGGGUGGCUCAGUUGGUUGAGCGUCUGACUUCAGCUCAGGUCAUGAUCUCUCAGUUCGUGAGUUCAAGCCCCACAUUAGCUU
rnacentral:tRNA from 1 species